rnacentral:rRNA from 1 species
AGUGAACGCUGGCGGUAGGCCUAACACAUGCAAGUCGAACGGCAGCACAGGAGAGCUUGCUCUCUGGGUGGCGAGUGGCGGACGGGUGAGGAAUACAUCGGAAUCUGCCCAGUCGUGGGGGAUAACGUAGGGAAACUUACGCUAAUACCGCAUACGACCUUCGGGUGAAAGAGGGGGAUCGCAAGACCUCUCGCGAUUGGAUGAGCCGAUGUCGGAUUAGCUAGUUGGCGGGGUAAUGGCCCACCAAGGCGACGAUCCGUAGCUGGUCUGAGAGGAUGAUCAGCCACACUGGAACUGAGACACGGUCCAGACUCCUACGGGAGGCAGCAGUGGGGAAUAUUGGACAAUGGGCGCGAGCCUGAUCCAGCCAUACCGCGUGGGUGAAGAAGGCCUUCGGGUUGUAAAGCCCUUUUGUUGGGAAAGAAAUCUUUCAGGCUAAUACCCUGGGAGGAUGACGGUACCCAAAGAAUAAGCACCGGCUAACUUCGUG